rnacentral:miRNA from 15 species
AGGUUAUCCGUGUUCUGUUCGUG